rnacentral:rRNA from 1 species
UUGCAGGCUGCAACCCGCCCUGCAUGAAGUCGGAAUUGCUAGUAAUCGCGGAUCAGCAUGCCGCGGUGAAUACGUUCCCGGGCCUUGUACACACCGCCCGUCACACCAUGAGAGUUGGGAAUACCCGAAGCCUGUGAGCUAACUUUUAGAGGCAGCAGUCGAAGGUAGAAUCAAUGAUUGGGGUGAAGUCGUAACAAGGUAUC